GUACAGGAAGGAUCUGCUCAAGGUAAAUCAAAUUUACUCAAUUUUCAAUUUGAUUGUCUUCAGUUAAUCAGGAUAACGAAGGACACAGUUUAAAUGUAUGAUGAGUUUAUAUGUGAAUGACAUCUUAGAUUUUAACUUCAAUCUGCUCGAUCGAUAUAGUGAAAUGGGAACUUACACAUUUAGAUUUCGUCAGAUAAUCAUAGAGCGUGUCUGGACACAAUUCGGGAUGUUUUUUUUCGAAACGAGGAUUUGACAAUCGCACAGUGAUUUAUAUCAUUAUAAACUCUGGUUUUGUUACCAGUACUAGUGGUCUACAGCUGCGCUUUGAUAUACAGGCUUAACCUGGAUACCACCUCUGGUGUAUUGUCGCAGAUGAAAUCGUAACAAGACACCUGAUCCCACUUCUAGCCUCUGGUAUGUCUAGGGGUCUAUGUUUGCCCUAAUAUCGGCUGAGAACAAUAAAGUACAUUGCUCAACUAAUUCAUUUGCAUGUUAUAAAUGAAAUUACAUAUUUGGAUCCAUAAUAAAUUCUAAAACCUAAAAUCACAGUGGAACUGUAACAUUUUAAAAUUAGUUUUAAAUGGGCCACUCGCGAUCGUUAGAAUGUUGAAGUACAGAAUCGAUUUUAUUUCUACUUGUUGGGACAAAAUUACAUUGAACGAGAAGUCAUUGCACAAUGCAUGGUUAAAAUUAAAGUAAACAAAGGAGAGAGAGAGAGAGAGAGAGAGAGAGAGAGAGAGAGAGAGAGAGAGAG